AACGAACGCUGGCGGCAGGCUUAACACAUGCAAGUCGAGCGCCCCGCAAGGGGAGCGGCAGACGGGUGAGUAACGCGUGGGAAUCUACCCAUCUCUACGGAAUAACGCAUGGAAACGUGUGCUGAUACCGUAUACGUCCUUCGGGAGAAAGAUUUACCGGAGAUGGAUGAGCCCGCGUUGGAUUAGCUAGUUGGUGGGGUAAAGGCCUACCAAGGCGACGAUCAAUAGCUGGUCUGAGAGGAUGAGCAGCCACACUGGGACUGAGACACGGCGCAGACUCUUACGGAAGGUAGCAGUGGGGUAAAUUGGAGAAUGGGCGCAAGCCUGGUCCAGCCGUGCCGCGUGGGUGAUGAAGGCCCUAGGGUUGUAAAGCUCUUUCGACGGUGAAGAUAAUGACGGUAACCGGAGAAGAAGCCCCGGCUAACUUCGUGCCAGCCGCCGCAGUAACAC
rnacentral:rRNA from 1 species